GUUAUAGGGUCAAGCGAACAAGUGCAUGUGGUGGAUGCCUUGGCGAUCACAGGCGAUGAAGGACGCGGUAGCCUGCGAAAAGCUACGGGGAGCUGGCAAACAAGCUUUGAUCCGUAGAUGUCCGAAUGGGGAAACCCACUCCGUAUGGAGUAUCCAUGGCUGAAUACAUAGGCCAUGCGAAGCGAACGCGGUGAACUGAAACAUCUAAGUAACCGCAGGAAAAGAAAUCAACCGAGAUUCCCAAAGUAGUGGCGAGCGAAAUGGGAUGAGCCUUGUACUCUUUAUUUGUAUUGUUAGCCGAACGCUCUGGAAAGUGCGGCCAUAGCAGGUGAUAGCCCUGUAGGCGAAAACAGUAUGAAAGAACUAGGUGUACGACAAGUAGGGCGGGACACGUGAAAUCCUGUCUGAAGAUGGGGGGACCAUCCUCCAAGGCUAAAUACUCGUGAUCGACCGAUAGUGAACCAGUACCGUGAGGGAAAGGCGAAAAGAACCCCGGGAGGGGAGUGAAAUAGAUCCUGAAACCGCAUGCAUACAAACAGUCGGAGCCUCGCAAGGGGUGACGGCGUACCUUUUGUAUAAUGGGUCAGCGACUUACGUUCAGUAGCAAGCUUAACCGUAUAGGGCAGGCGUAGCGAAAGCGAGUCCGAAUAGGGCGUUCAGUUGCUGGGCGUAGACCCGAAACCAGGUGAUCUAUCCAUGGCCAGGAUGAAGGUGCGGUAACACGUACUGGAGGUCCGAACCCACUAACGUUGAAAAGUUAGGGGAUGAGCUGUGGAUAGGGGUGAAAGGCUAAACAAACCUGGAAAUAGCUGGUUCUCUCCGAAAACUAUUUAGGUAGUGCCUCGUGUCUCACCUUCGGGGGUAGAGCACUGUCAUGGUUGGGGGGUCUAUUGCAGAUUACCCCGCCAUAGCAAACUCCGAAUACCGAAGAGUGCAAUCACGGGAGACAGACAUCGGGUGCUAACGUCCGGUGUCAAGAGGGAAACAACCCAGACCGCCAGCUAAGGUCCCCAAAUAUGGCUAAGUGGGAAACGAAGUGGGAAGGCUAAAACAGUCAGGAGGUUGGCUUAGAAGCAGCCACCCUUUAAAGAAAGCGUAAUAGCUCACUGAUCGAGUCGUCCUGCGCGGAAGAUGUAACGGGGCUAAGCCAUAUACCGAAGCUGCGGAUGCG
rnacentral:rRNA from 1 species